UACGAAGGGUGCAAACGUUGCUCGGAAUUAUUGGGCGUAAAGCGCGCGUAGGCGGCUUGGCAAGUCGGAUGUGAAAUCCCUCGGCUCAACCAAGGAAGUGCAUCCGAAACUGCUGAGCUUGAGUACUUAAGAGGAUCGCGGAAUUCCCGGUGUAGAGGUGAAAUUCGUAGAGAUCGGGAGGAACAUCUGUGGCGAAGGCGGCCAUCUGGACCAGCACUGACACUGAGGCACGAAAGCGUGGGGAGCAAACAGG
rnacentral:rRNA from 1 species